UACGGAGGGUGCAAGCGUUAUCCGGAUUCACUGGGUUUAAAGGGUGCGUAGGUGGGCAAGUAAGUCAGUGGUGAAAUCUCCGGGCUUAACCCGGAAACUGCCAUUGAUACUAUUUGUCUUGAAUACUGUGGAGGUCAGCGGAAUAUGUCAUGUAGCGGUGAAAUGCUUAGAUAUGACAUAGAACACCAAUUGCGAAGGCAGCUGGCUACACAAAUAUUGACACUGAGGCACGAAAGCAUGGGGAUCAAACAGG
rnacentral:rRNA from 1 species